GGCCUGGUGGUGAAAUGUAUCACACCCACACUGCCCCACAGCACUUCCGAUAGGUUUUGUGGGGGUCCCUGGUUCGAAUCUGGGCCAGGUCA